CUAUUUUUCAGCCUCAUGUUUCACCCCAAGCAGCUGGUAGACCUAUUGCUCCUCCUGCUCCUACUCCUGCUCCUGCUCCAGCUCCAGCUCCUGCUCCAGCUCCAGCUCCUGCUCCUGAUGGUAAGUCUGUUUUUCAAGCAAUUAUAGUCUAUUGGAUGGGGGUUCCUAGGCAGCAUCUCCCUCCAUGCUGCACAGCUUCUGUAGGCAAAUACAAUACUCGAUUUUAAACGUAAUGGAGCAAAUAAACUAGUGCAAACAGAAAUGUUGUGAUACUUUUUUCAGAAGAGAAAGGGGAUGGUGAGUACUGUAAUUUUUUUUUCUAUUGGUCCCUAAUUGCUUGGAUAUUUUUGAUUUUAUUUGAUUUUAUUUUAGAUUUGCUUGCUUGGUUGGUUGAAUUUUUUGGUUUUGGGGAGUGGUGGGGGUGGGUGGGUUUUUGUUUUUAAUUUUUUUCUUUUAUUUCUUCUUUCUGUUUAUAUUUUUAACUGAAAACUUCUUCCUUUCAUUAUGUUAUAAACCAUUAACUUUUUUUAAAGGUUUUUUCUUUCAACCAUAACCAUUUCAGUUCUUUGCAUUUCCUUUUUUUUUUUUUUUUUAUUUACCUUCAUUGACGUAAAUUUACUUUCUGUGAACAGGUACUUUUCAGCCUCUUUUUUCACUCCGAGCAGCUGGUAAACCCACUGCUCCUCCUUUUCCUGCUGAUGAUUCCUUUCAACGUCGCAUUGAACCCCAAGAAGCUGCUACACCUCGUACUCCAGGUCCUGAUGACUCUUUCUGGCUGCCUGUUUCAUCCCAAGCAGCGCGUGCACCUCCUGCACCUGCUCAUGCUCGUGAUGAAUCUUUCUGGGGUCGAAUUGGACACCAACUAGCCGGAACACCUCCUGCACAUGCUGGUGACAGUGAUGACUCUUUUGGACCUCGCUUUGUGCCCAAAGGAGCUGCUGCACCUCCUGCUCCUGUUGAUAUUUUUCGGAUUAGUGUUGCACCCAAAGCGCCCCGUACACCUGCUACUCCUGUUCCUGCUCCUGCUGAUAUUUUUCAGCCUUAUGUUUCACCACAAGCAGCUGGUAGACCUACUGCCCCUGCAGUUGCUCCUGCUCCUGUUGCUAUUUUGCAGCCCCAUGUUUCACCCCAAGCAGCCAGUGCACCUCCUGCUCCUACUCCUGCUUCUGAUGAAUCUUUUCAGCUUCUCCUUAUACCCCAAGGACCUAGUACACCUCGUAGUCCAGCUCCUGAUGAAUCCUUCCAGCUACUCUUUGUACAACAAGGAACGAGUACACAAUGUAGUCUUGCUCCUGAUGCAAGCUGGGGAGAGCCUAGACACAGAACGUACAUUGAUUCCAGAACUGACACAACCUCCAGUGUGGCACCCUACAGGGGCUCUACUCUGCCUGGAAUUCACACAAUCUCCAGGGUGUCACCCCAGAGAACCUAUACUGUGUCUGGCAGUGAUGUGCCCUCCAGUGUGACACCCUACAGGACCUAUACUGUGUCUGAGAGUGAUAUGCCCUCCAGUGUGACACCCUACAGGACCUAUACUGUGUCUAAGAGUGAUGUGCCCUCCAGUGUGACACCCUACAUAACCCACACUGUGUCUGGAAGCGACGUAUCCUCUGAAUCUUUUCGGCUUCCCUUUGUACCUCAAGGAACCAGUACACCUCGUGGUCCUGCUCCUGUUGCAAGCUGGGGAGAGCUGGGACACAGAACCUACAUUGAUUCCAGAACCAACACAAGCUCCAGUGUGACACCCUACAGAACCUCUACUGUGUCUGGAACUGACACCAGCUCCAGUGUGACACCCUACAGAACCUCUACUGUGUCUGGAACAGACACAGCCUCCAGUGUGUCACCCUACAGGACCUAUACUUUGUCUGGAAUUGGCACAACAUCCAGUGUGAUGCCCCGAGGAACCUAUACUGUUUCUGGCAGUGAUGUGCCCUCCAGUGUGUCCCCUUACAGGACCUAUACUGUGUCUGAGAGUGAUGUGCCCUCCAGUGUGACACCCUACAGGACCUAUACUGUGUCUGGCAGUGAUAUGCCCUCCAGUGUGACACCCUACAGGACCUAUACUGUGUCUAAGAGUGAUGUACCCUCAAGUGUGACACCCUACAUAACCCACACUGUGUCUGGAAGCGACGUAUCCUCCGAAUCUUUUCGGCUUCCCUUUGUACCUCAAGGAACCAGUACACCUCGUGGUCCUGCUCCUGUUGGUAAGUCUGCUUUUGAAGCAAUUGCACUCACUUGGAUGUGGGU
ensembl:lncRNA